UAAGAUGGACACUUUCUAAAGCGCCGUCGAAGGCCAUUCCACCCUGCUAGGCUAAGAUGACGCUCUCUAAAGCAUCGUCGGAGGUACCACAACCACAUCCCCUCUCGUGGAAGUGCGACGACGCUUUAGAAAGCAUUAUCGGAAGCCACUUCCAACCAAACCUUCCCCACUCCCCAACCUAAUAAAUUUCUAACCUCUCCCAAUCCGUAACCCAUCUCCCCCCUCCCUAGCGAAGCAUCCUAGCGAGCAGUGCCCGGCAAUGGCAGCCGCUGAGGUAAUGCCGGUGCGCGAGAAGCACGUCCCAAGUCCAAAUUCCCCAAUGUAUUUCGAGUGCGGUGUCGUGGGUGCGUGGAGAGAGGCGUUCUCCACCUGCAACACCCCUUCUCCAAUCCCUCGACCGCACUGAGCUCCCCCUCCUCCUCCGCCGUCGGGAACCCCACCCCUUCUUCUCUAAGUCGGAGCUAACAGUAUUGAAGGGGGUGCACCCAAAGAUGGCUCCGACGUUCUGGCUGCUUAUGCGCCGGAUCUCGCGCCAUUAAUGUCCGAUGGGGUAUGGUUUGGGGUUGGUUCUUUUCCUAUUUUAAGGGCUCAACCCUGCUUCCGAGAAAUACAACCGGCAGAUUUGCCUCUCUCCUUCCUUUUCUCCUUUCGCUGCUCUCCCUACUUCCUAGGUCCGCGCCAUCUUCCGCUUUUCUUGACUUGGAUCUUGAGCCCGAUGAGCUCUCCAACCCCUCCAUCGGUUCCGUCUUCCUCCCCCUCCAGCAUUGCGGCAACACACGUCGAGGACCGGCGCCUGGUGGAUCCGACCGCCGCGACAAGAAGGCAGCAAGGAAGGAUGUGGUGCCCUCCCCGGUCUCAGGUUUUCGUAUAUGUUUCCUGCUGUUUGGUUGCCAAGAUAAGGGUUAGGAGAAAAUGGCGAUGCACAGCCUCAUCAGCCUCACCUCCAAAGCCGAGAUCCGCUACGAGGGCAUCCUCGUCUCCAUUAACCCCCAGGAGUCCACCAUUGCCCUCCAGAACGAAUUUGUGCAGAAACCUACUGGUCCAAUAAGCCAGCAGCAACGAUCCCCAGGAGAUAUGGCCUUAUUGUUGUCGGCUUUUCUUCCGAGGAGACUCUCCUUCACGU